AAUUUGAGUUUUUUCACCAGCAGUUUCCUGAGUGGCUGAGGCAUUAAUCAGCGCAGCUGCAGCUGAUCUUCUGAUGAGCACCUGAGGGCUUUAUAAGACGACACUGGUGAACUGAUCCUCGCCGGAGCAACACAUGCCUUAUGUGCUCCUGCCCGUGAUCCCACCGUGUCGUCCAAAGGAAAUAACACCUCAGCUCUGAUCACCUGCCUGUCU